AAAAUGGACCACCGACCAAGAAGCAGUAAACCGCACGUGGUGUUGUUAUUCUUAGUUCUUACAACAGAAGGUCGUUACUCCGUCCACAUCUUAGUUGUUAUCCUCAUCCUUUCUCCGUUGAUGAGACACAGCUGGUUGAGUGAAUCGCGAUGGAGAACAGGAAGUCAAAAUGGAGAUGAGCAUUAAUUGGAGCAGCAUCAGCCCCAAUAUCCGCGAAACCCAAGGACCCAAUAUUCCAGCCGUUGACAUCGCCGGCACCGCCAGGCUCAUGUGGUGGAACCAUAACUUUAUGGUCCACGUGGACAGCCAUGUUACCGUUGAUUCCGUGUUCCUCGACGUCAUUGAUCAGGAAAACACCUCCGAGCUUGAAGUCUUCACCGCGCGACCUAGGGGAGUGAGCAACGAGGUGUAUAAAUAUAGAGAGAUGCUAGCUUUCUUGGUAGUGUUUAUCUACAUCAGUAGAGGUUUGUGCUUGAUGAUGGCAAGAGAAGCUGGAGAAGCUUGCUCGCAAGAAAGUUAAACAAGACAAACAGGAGCUAACUCCUAACAUGGAGAGUGCAGCAUGCAUCUGACAGUAAAGCCAGAAUGAGGAAUGGCGGGCACUGAUCCACAAUAACUAACUUAUCAGAUGAAGAACCUUUUCUAGUUAGCAAAUCCGCACAACAAUUACCCUCUUUGUAAAUGUGUUGGAUACUGAAGUUCCAAUCCCUGGUGAACAGAUUCCUGAUAUGGUUCACCAGAGCAGCAUAGAUGGUCCUCAAACAGAAGCAAAGCAAAAUGCAGGCUCAGGGGCUUCAGUAACUGAUGCCAAAACAAGUACGUCAGCUGACAAAGUUUCAACUGAUAAGUACUGGAAUUAUGCAGUUGUAGCUGGCGCUAUAACAAUUUUUGGGUUAUUGGUUUGAUACCUUAAAGGCACUGCAAAGAAGCUAGAAGAAGAUUGAACAUUUCAGCAUUGCAUGUUCUCAUUUUUUGUUUUGGUUGUAGCAGUCGCACAAAAAUAUAUGUAUUGUUGUAUCAGUGUUCAGUGAUGACGUUCUUUGAUUAGAAUGGAAACAAUUGGUCUGGCUUUGGAGUUUGGAGGUUAAGCAAUGGGAAACAAUCCAAGAAUACUUUCUUACUAA